rnacentral:rRNA from 1 species
GUCGAACGGCAGCAUGAUCUAGCUUGCUAGAUUGGUGGCGAGUGGCGAACGGGUGAGUAAUACAUCGGAACGUGCCCUGUAGUGGGGGAUAACUAGUCAAAAGAUUAGCUAAUACCGCAUACGACCUGAGGGUGAAAGUGGGGGACCGCAAGGCCUCAUGCUAUAGGAGCGGCCGAUGUCUGAUUAGCUAGUUGGUGAGGUAAAGGCUCACCAAGGCGACGAUCAGUAGCUGGUCUGAGAGGACGAUCAGCCACACUGGGACUGAGACACGGCCCAGACUCCUACGGGAGGCAGCAGUGGGGAAUUUUGGACAAUGGGCGAAAGCCUGAUCCAGCAAUGCCGCGUGUGUGAAGAAGGCCUUCGGGUUGUAAAGCACUUUUGUCCGGAAAGAAAUGGCUCUGGUUAAUACCUGGGGUCGAUGACGGUACCGGAAGAAUAAGGACCGGCUAACUACGUGCCAGCAGCCGCGGUAAUACGUAGGGUCCAAGCGUUAAUCGGAAUUACUGGGCGUAAAGCGUGCGCAGGCGGUUGUGCAAGACCGAUGUGAAAUCCCCGAGCUUAACUUGGGAAUUGCAUUGGUGACUGCACGGCUAGAGUGUGUCAGAGGGGGGUAGAAUUCCACGUGUAGCAGUGAAAUGCGUAGAGAUGUGGAGGAAUACCGAUGGCGAAGGCAGCCCCCUGGGAUAACACUGACGCUCAUGCACGAAAGCGUGGGGAGCAAACAGGGUUAGAUACCCUGGUAGUCCACGCCCUAAACGAUGUCAACUAGUUGUUGGGGAUUCAUUUCCUUAGUAACGUAGCUAACGCG